UGAAACUUUCAACGUUGUGGAUCUCUCGCGAUCGGACGUUUUUUCGGAGAAGCCUGGUCGCAUCGAGAUCGGGUCCAACUCUUGGAAUUUUCUUUCCGAUUGUCUUGGAAAAUAUCUUCUUCGUCGCGUGUUUGUGUGUGUGUGCUCUGUGGAGUUUAUAAAAAUAAGUCGAAAAGUGUUUGCCGCAUCAACAAAAAUAAAAACACCCAAGAGUCGAGGGCUGUUUGUUGUGUCUGUACAACAGAAUUUCUAAAUUUUUACCUCCAUCGCCCAAGGAAUACAUAGAGACGAACGAUCGUAGCUGAAAAAAGUAUCCGCUACCGGUGUGUUUAAUAGCACCAGAAUGAACGAAUACAUCUUUUGAAGACAGAAAAGGAAGAGAAUCCGUGGUGAAAUUCUUCUACCGUUGCCAACUGUAAGAGAUCUCCACACAAACGAACGAGAAGAAAAAACUGAUUAAAGUCCCGGCCGGAAGUGCCCCAGUGGAACGCGACCCCAACAACAGAGCCAGAUCGAGAUGCUGGAACUGCGGCUUAUCGUGGUCGUCGUGCUCGGCCUGCUCGGCAGCCAGUGUGGCCUGGUGGAUUCCCAAAGAGCGCCCCAGCAUGGCCGACGGGACAGACCCAAAUAUAUGCAGAAGAACUUUGUCAAGACGCAUCCUUGCGAGAGGUCCUCGUGCUACCCGGCGACGGGUAAUCUCCUGAUCGGAAGGGAAAACCGCCUAACUGCCAGUUCCACUUGUGGACUGCACUCGCCGGAGAGAUUCUGCAUCCUGUCCCAUCUGCAGGACAACAAGUGUUUCCUGUGCGACACGCGGGAGAAGACCAAGCAGGAUCCCGCGAUGAACCAUCGCGUCGGUCAGAUCAUAUACAAAACUAAGCCCGGAACCAACAGGCCCACCUGGUGGCAGUCGGAGAACGGCAAGGAGAAUGUCACCAUUCAACUGGACCUGGAGGCGGAGUUCCACUUCACCCAUUUGAUCAUAACCUUUACCACUUUCCGACCUGCGGCCAUGUACAUUGAGAGGUCCUUCGACUUCGGGAACACAUGGCACGUCUACAGAUAUUUCGCCUACGACUGCAAGGAGUCCUUUCCGGGAGUACCCACAGUCUUGGAAAACAUCACCGAUGUGAUGUGCACAUCGAGGUACUCUAGUGUGGAGCCCUCCAGAAAUGGUGAAGUCAUCUUCAGGGUGCUGCCACCCAACAUCAAUGUUACGGAUCCCUAUGCGGAGCACGUCCAGAAUCAGCUAAAGAUGACUAACCUCAGAAUUCAGAUGACCAAGCUGCACAAGCUGGGAGACAAUCUUUUGGACAGCAGGUUGGAGAACGAGGAGAAGUACUACUACGGCAUAUCCAACAUGGUGGUGCGAGGAUCCUGCUCCUGCUACGGCCACGCCUCCCAGUGUCUGCCAAUGGAUCCGGCGUUUUCUCAGGAGGACAAUGAAGACGGCAUGGUCCAUGGCCGCUGCGAGUGUACUCACAACACCAAGGGAAUGAACUGCGAGGUAUGCGAGGACUUCUUCAACGAUCUGCCCUGGAAACCGGCCUUCGGAAAGCAAACGAAUGCCUGCAAGAAAUGCGAGUGUAACGACCACGCCGUCAGUUGCCACUUCGAUGAGGCUGUAUUCACUGCAUCCGGACUAGUUUCCGGCGGAGUGUGCGACAACUGCUUGCACAACACCCAGGGACAGCACUGCGAGGAGUGUAUGCCGUUCUUCUACCGCGAUCCCGAGCAGGAUCUCAAUUCCCCAAGUGUUUGCCAGCCCUGUGACUGCGAUCCCGAAGGUUCGUUGGACGACGGUAUCUGCGACUCUGUCAACGAUCCGGAGAAUGGCGCCACAGCUGGCGCCUGCCAUUGCAAGGCCUUCGUCACGGGACGUCGUUGUAACGAGUGCAAAGAUGGUUACUGGAAUCUGCAGCUGGAUAAUCCCGAGGGCUGCGAGUCCUGUACUUGCAACCCCCUGGGUACUUUGAACAAUUCCGGAUGCGUUAUGCGCACGGGAGAGUGCAAGUGUAAGAAGUAUGUCACUGGCAAGGACUGCAACCAAUGUAUGCCGGAGACCUACGGUCUUUCGGAUUCACCUGAGGGGUGCGCCCUCUGUAACUGCGACGCCGGAGGAUCCUACGAUAAUUACUGCGAUGUGAUAAGCGGUCAGUGUCGCUGCAGGCCCCACAUGACAGGAAGAACCUGCGCCCAUCCGAAACAGAACUACUUUAUUCCAACGCUAACGCAAGUCCACGAAGCGGAAGUGGUAGACGAGUGCAUCUCCUACGGCAAUAGUGGAAACUGCAGCCUGGUGGCUGAAAAUCCGGAUGGCACCUUCACGGGAAUUGGUUUCACCAGGGUUCCCGAGAACACAGAGCUGGUUUUCACCGUCGGAGACAUUCCCCGAUCCAUGCCCCACGACGUGAUUAUACGCUAUCAGAGCACCUCUCGAGGAGAUUGGGAGGAUGCGUACAUCACUCUGGUAAGGCCGGAUCAAGUCGACCCAGACGGAGGGUGUGGGCAAGUGGCUGCGGCCACUGCAUCAGAGACCAGAAUACCCUUUUCCCUGCCCGAUCGCAGUCGACACGUGGUGGCGUUGAACGACGUGUGCUUGGAGGCAGGAAAGGUUUAUAAAUUCCGAAUCUAUUUUGAGCGCAGGCGACACGAUGGAGACAGCCCCACAGCCACAAUCUUGGUGGAUUCCCUAACACUCAUCCCCCGCAUCGAUGUCACCUCCGUAUUCCAAGGUUCCGUGCUGGCCGAUCUUCGUAGGCAGGACUAUGAGAGACACCAUUGCAAUGCCUCUCUGUACGAUUUGAACUAUGUUCCCGACCCGAAAUGUCUGAGCCUGGACAUUGUUGCGAGUGAAGAGAUCCACGACGGAGCCAGAAUGUGUAACUGCAACCCCACGGGAUCGCUCAGCAAGGAGUGCGACGCCUACGGAGGAUACUGCCAGUGCAAGCCGAACGUGGUGGGCAGGCAGUGCGACCAGUGUGCCCCGGGCACCUACGGAUUCGGACCGGAGGGAUGCAAGGCCUGCGACUGCAACAGCAUCGGAUCGAAGGACAAGUACUGCGAUCUGAUAACCGGUCAGUGCCAGUGCGUGCCGAACACCUACGGCAGGGAGUGCAACCAGUGCCAGCCGGGCUACUGGAACUUCCCCGAGUGCAGGGUCUGCCAGUGCAAUGGUCAUGCGGCGCAGUGCGAUCCAAUCCAUGGAACCUGUCUGGACUGUCAGGACUCGACCACCGGCUACAGCUGCGACACCUGCCUGGACGGGUACUACGGAAACCCCCUGUUCGGCAGUGAGAUUGGGUGCCGUCCGUGCCGCUGCCCGGAAACGGUGGCCAGUGGAAUGGCCCAUGCGGAGGGCUGCUCCCUGGACACGCGGAACAACAACAUGCUGUGCCACUGCCAGGAAGGGUAUUCCGGCUCUCGCUGCGAGAUCUGCGCGGACAACUUCUUCGGAGUGCCGGACAACGGGGGAACCUGCUCGAAGUGCGAGUGCAGCAACAACGUCGAUCUCUACGACACUGGCAACUGCGAUCGCCAGACGGGAGCUUGCCUGAAGUGCUUGUAUCAGACUACUGGGGACCACUGCGAGCUCUGCAAGGAUGGGUUCUUCGGGGACGCACUGCAGCAGAACUGCCAGCAGUGCGACUGCGACUUCCUCGGAACGAACAACACCAUAGCCCACUGCGAUCGCUUCUCGGGUCAGUGCCCUUGCUUGCCGAACGUCCAGGGUGUGCGAUGCGAUAAGUGCGCCCCGAACCACUGGAAGAUUGCCUCUGGCGAGGGAUGCGAAAGCUGCAACUGCGAUCCCAUCGGAGCUCUCGACGAACAGUGUAAUUCCUACACUGGGCAGUGCGAGUGCAAGCAAGGAUUCGGAGGCAGGGCCUGUAAUCAGUGCGAGGCCCACUACUGGGGCAAUCCCAACGAGAAGUGCCAGCCCUGCGAGUGCGAUCAGUAUGGAGCUGCUGAUCACCAGUGCGAUCGGGAGACAGGUACUUGUGUCUGCCACGAGGGAAUUGGAGGCUACAAGUGUAACGAGUGCGCCAGGGGCUACAUUGGUCAGUUCCCGCAUUGCUCGCCUUGUGGCGAAUGCUUCAACAACUGGGAUUUGAUCUUGAGUGCCCUAGAGGACUCAACCACAGCCACUAUCCAGCGAGCCAAGGAAAUCAAGCAAGUGGGCGCGACAGGGGCCUAUACGUCCGAGUUCAGCGAACUGGAUAAGAAACUGCAGCACAUCAGGAAUCUGCUGCAGAACACCUCAGUUAGCCUGGUGGACAUUGAGAAUCUGGAUGCGGAAACCAAUGCCCUCAAACAGCAGCUUCAGGCAUCCCAUGGCCGGUUAAGCGAAACCGAAAGAAAGUUAGAUGACAUAUACAACUCCCUGAGUUUGUCGGGUGUGGAGCUGGAGAGCCUGCAAAAUCACUCCAGAUUGGUGCAACAGCUGUCCAAGGAACUGAAGGAAAAUGGCAUACAACUCCAGGAGCUGAACAUCGGGGGAGCUUUGAACCUUACACGCCACGCCUACGAAACGGUCAGGAAUUUAACGGCCCUCAAGGACGAAGCCAAUGAACUGGCCUCGAACACAGAUAGGAACUGCAAGAGGGUCGAGACUCUGUCCAACAAGAUCCAGGCCGAGGCAAAGAACUUGGCCAACAAUGACAAGUUCAUCGCUGACUAUCGAGCAGAGUUGACUUCUCUAACAUCCCAAGUUCCCGAGCUGAACAACCAGGUUUGCGGCAAGCGAGGCGAUCCCUGCGACAGCUUGUGCGGUGGAGCCGGUUGUGGCCACUGUGGAGGAUUCCUGUCCUGCGAGCAUGGCGCGAAAACCCACUCGGAAGAAGCUCUGAAAGUGGCCAAGGAUGCCGAGGCGGCCAUCACCAGCAAGAAGGACCAGGCGGAUCAGACCAUACGGGCUCUGACCCAGGCCAAGUUAAAUGCCUCCGAGGCCUACGAGAAGGCAAAGAGGGGAUUCGAGCAAUCCGAGCGAUAUCUGAACCAAACCAAUGCCAACAUCAAGCAGGCUGAAAAGCUAUUUACUGCCCUCAACAAUUUCCAGGAGAACAAGACCGCUUCCCCAUCAGAGAGCAAAGAACUGGCGCAGAAAACCCUGGACUUGGAUCUGAAACUGGAACCCGAGGAGAUUGAGUCCCUGGGAAAGCAGAUCAACGAGGCUGUCUCAUCCCUGAGGAACGUAGAAGCCAUCAUCUACAAGACCAAACCCGAUUUGGACAGGGUCAACAAUCUGCAGAGCAUUGCCAAUGCCACCAAGGAGAAAGCCGACAAGAUCCUCGACUCGGCCAAUUCUGUGGUAGAGAGUCUGGCGGCGGCAGAUGAGUCCCAGGGAAAAGCCAAGGAUGCCAUCAAACAGGCCAACAGCAACAUUGAACUGGCCGGCCAGGACCUCGAGAAGAUCGAUGAAGAAACGUACUCAGCAGAGGCCCCAGCCAAUAACACAGCCGAGCAGGUUGAGAAGUUGGCCAAGAAAGUGCAGAAACUUCAGAACAACAUCGUAAAGAACGAACGAGAUGCCAAGGAGAUUACCAAGGAGGCGGGUCGCGUAAAAUUGGAUGCCAUGAGGGCACGGGGAGAGGCCAACAAUCUGCAAUCUGCGACCAGUGCCACUAACCAGACCCUCACCGACCGAGCUAGUCGCUCGGAAAAUGCCAGGGAAAGGGCCAAGCAGCUCCUCCAGAGGGCCUCCAAACUAACCGUCGACACUAAUGCCAAGCUGAAGGAUCUGAAUGACCUGCAGGCCGUCUACCAGAACAAGAACCAACAGCUGCUCCAGCUGCAGGCCGACAUUGGACCCCUGAACAAGGAGCUCAACGAGCACCUGAUUCACAUCAAGGAGCGAGCGUCGUACUAUAGGCAGUGCUAGACGUAGAUCGGAAAAGAGGGUGUUAUAAUUUUGGUCAGAAGUUUGAAAGGCAGUGAAGGAGACGUCUCGGAACCUUUAAAGUAUAUUCCUCCUCUGCGCGGCCAUUUAAAUUGCCAUAUUCAUGAACAAAUAAGCAAAUUGCGAAUUACGAGAAUCAAGUAAGCAACUACAGCAACAACUAGGAAGGCAAAAGUUAUUAUGUAACCACUGUUAAGUUACCGUUACGUUUUGUACUCUAAGCGAAAACCAACACUGCAAUGUUAAUUUUAAAAAUUGAGCGAAUGAAAUCGAUGCCUUCACUUUUAAUGUGUACACACUGAGCUAAGUUUUUCUUAUACUAUCCCUAAACCAUUUUGUAAUGCAAUAAAUGUAAUUAAAUAAAACUACUUAAAUGUGGAAA